rnacentral:rRNA from 1 species
UAGGGAAUAUUGCUCAAUGGGGGAAACCCUGAAGCAGCAACGCCGCGUGGAGGAUGAAGGUUUUAGGAUUGUAAACUCCUUUUGUAAGAGAAGAUUAUGACGGUAUCUUACGAAUAAGCACCGGCUAACUCCGUGCCAGCAGCCGCGGUAAUACGGAGGGUGCAAGCGUUACUCGGAAUCACUGGGCGUAAAGAGCGCGUAGGCGGGAGAGUAAGUCAGAUGUGAAAUCCUGUAGCUUAACUACAGAACUGCAUUUGAAACUACUUUUCUAGAGUAUGGGAGAGGUAGGUGGAAUUCUUGGUGUAGGGGUAAAAUCCGUAGAGAUCAAGAGGAAUACUCAUUGCGAAGGCGGCCCCCUGGACGAAGACUGACGCUCAGGUGCGAAAGCGUGGGGAGCAAACAGG